rnacentral:rRNA from 1 species
AUUGAACGCUGGCGGCGUGCUUAACACAUGCAAGUCGAACGGUAGCACAGAGGAGCUUGCUUUUGUGGGGUGCUCGAGUGGCGAACGGGUGAGUAAUGCUUGGGAAUCUGCCCUUGACUUUGGGAUAACUUCAGGAAACUGUAGCUAAUACCGCGUAAUAUCGAGAGAUUAAAGACUGGGAACUUCGGUCCAGUUUCGGCGGUUGGGGAUGGACUCGCGGCUUAUCAGCUUGUUGGUGGGGUAAAGGCCUACCAAGCCGACGAUCUCUAGCUGGUCUGAGAGGAUGACCAGCCACAUUGGAACUGAGACUCGGUCCAGACUCCUACGGGAGGCAGCAGUGGGGAAUAUUGCACAAUGGGGGGAACCCUGAUGCAGCCAUGCCGCGUGAAUGAAGAAGGCCUUCGGGUUGUAAAGUUCUUUCGGUGGUGAGGAAGGCAUACAUUUUAAUAGAAUGUGUGAUUGACGUUAGCCACAGAAGAAGCACCGGCUAACUACGUGCCAGCAGCCGCGGUGAUACGGAGGGUGCGAGCGUUAAUCGGAAUGACUGGGCGUAAAGGGCACGCAGGCGGAUUGUUAAGUGGGAUGUGUAAUCUUGGGGCUUAACCCUGAGCGUGCUUUCAGACUGGCAAUCUAAAGUAUUUUAGGGAGGGGCAGAAUUCCACGUGUAGCGGUGAAAUGCCUAGAGAUGUGGAGGAAUACCGAAGGCGAAGGCAGCCCCUUGGGAAUAUACUGACGCUCAUGUGCGAAAGCGUGGGGAGCAAACAGGAUUAGAUACCCUGGUAGGCCACGCUGUAAACGAUGUCGAUUUGGGGAUUGGGCUUUAUGCGUGGUGCCCAAACCUAACGUGAUACAUCGAGCGCCUGGGGAGUACAGACGCAAGGUUAAAACUCAAAUGAAUUGACGGGCGCCCGCACAAGCGGAGGAGCGUGUGGUUUAAUUCGAUGCAACGCAAACAACCUUACCUACUCUUGACAUCCAGAGAACUUUCCAGAUAUGGAUUGGUGCCCUCUGGAGCUCUGAGACAGGUGCUGCAUGGCUGUCGUCACCUCAUGUUGCGAAAUGUUGAGUGAAGUCACCUAGCGACCGCAUCCCUUAUCUUGUGUUACCGACGAUUAGGUGCAGGAACUCCGAGCGGGACUGCCCAGUGACAGAAGGGAGGAAGGCGGAGAUGACGACUACCCAUCAUGGCCCUUGCGAGUAGGGUUAUGCAACAGCUAGAGUGAAAAUUUCGGAGGAACAGAGCAGUGCGAGACCAAAAGGACCACAC